AGAUCUAAUUAAACGACGUGUUUUGUAUUAGGGGUUGCGCGUCUCCAUCCGAGAUCCUCUCUCUGCGCGGUCUCCAUCCUCAUCGCACAACUGAUCUUUCGUCUUCCUUCCCGUACCAGAUGAUACCAGUAACGGCUUUCUCUCAUAAAGCCAUCCAUUAAUCGAGCACCCAUGAUCUAUAUUAAAUAUGAUUCUUGAGAGUUUGAAACUGGAAGGCGGUGGACGUUCUAUAUAAAAAGGUUUGUUGUCUUCCUCCACUUGAGUUCAUAUGCUUCGUCUGGAUUCUAAGGAUAUUCUGUUCCUAGCUUUUUAUUGGCAGACCCUUGAAAGGGUUUCCGACCGUCACUCCGCGGCAGAGUUGCUUGCAGUCGUGGGGUUCAAUAAUCAACUUAAAAACUUCGUAUAUUCCAGAUUUGGUUGCUUCUGCCGGGCUGGUCAUGGAUGUUACUCCUAGCCAUCUCAUGGAUAGGGAGCAGUUUGAUUUAAUUUCGAUCUGUGACAGUAACAAUGGUUUCGGCAGGUAUCAACUUAGUUCCCGUGAUCGGAAUGGGUUUGUUGAUUUGAUUUUGAUAUGUAGAUACCGAACAUGAAACACAGUCUCUCUAAACCGUUGGUUGACUAACAUAUGGUGUAGAUUGUUUUCUUUGUUGAUCACAUAUCAAUCGUUUUCAGUAGAAGACUGAUUUGAGAGUUUUUGAACUGUGUAGAGUAUAGAACUGUCAUAGAUGUUGCAGUUCUCUUGGUCAUCAUUGAAUAAGUCAAGUGUCUUACUUACCAGGAGAUUGCUAAUAUUCCCUUAGGAGAUGAAUCUAUAAGAUGUGGUCAGAAACUGGAGGUUAACGGAGAGAAAGCAACUGGCCAGGUAGAGGAGUUCCCAAAGAUCAAUCAGCUCCUGUCUAUAUAGCCAUUGGUGAUGGAAGAAACAUGGAAGGAUUUGCUCCAGAUUUCUGCAGAAUGACUGAGCCUCAGCCUAAGUACUCUGCCACAGAGAAGCAAGCUUUGUUCACAUUAUAAUCUUGAUAGAGAAGUGGACAUAUGGGCAAUAUGAAUGGCACAAGAACAAGUUACGUUUAUUAAGGCUGACACCAUGUGGUUUUACAAUAGGUUAUGGCAUUCUGAUGAUGAUUCUCUUUGGUAUCAAAAUACCAGGUUAUGGUGAUAUAUGUUUUUGUAUGCAUUAUUUGUAAUUGAAUAAUGAUGAAUAAAGGCAAUGUGGGUUAGUUUUUUGUGUU